AAUGGCAGGUCAGCAUACUGCCGUGAAUACGUUCCCGGGCCUUGUACACACCGCCCGUCACACCAUGAGAGUUGGGGAUACCCGAAGCCUGUGAGCUAACUAUUUAUAGGAGCAGCAGUCGAAGGUAGAAUCAAUGAUUGGGGUGAAGUCGUAACAAGGUAAC
rnacentral:rRNA from 1 species